UCCUCUCUAGCUCAGUGGUCAGAGCGACUGACUGUUAAUCAGUAGGCCGCAGGUUCAAACCCUGCGUGAGGAG
rnacentral:tRNA from 3 species